rnacentral:rRNA from 1 species
ACGGCCGGUUGGCUACGUUCGGGAGGGAUAACCGCUGAAAGCAUCUAAGCGGGAAGCCUGCUCCGAGAUUAGGAUUCCUUGGACCCUUCGGGGUCCUGUAGCCCGCAUGUUGAACACGUGUUCGAUAGGCCGGAGGUGGAAGCCCCGUGAGGGGUGGAGCCGACCGGUACUAACGGGCGAGGACGACCCU